rnacentral:rRNA from 1 species
CCUACGUGUGGCUGCAGUGGGGAAUAUUGCACAAUGGGGGGAACCCUGAUGCAGCGACGCCGCGGGAGUGAAGAAGUAUUUCGGUAUGUAAAGCUCUAUCAGCAGGGAAGAAGAUGACGGUACCUGACUAAGAAGCCCCGGCUAACUACGUGCCAGCAGCCGCGGUAAUACGAAGGGGGCAAGCGUAAUCCGGCUUUACUGGGUGUAAAGGGAGCGUAGACGGCAGGGCAAGUCUGGCUUGAAAGCCCGGGGCCCAACCCCGGGACUGCUUUGGAAACUGCCAUGCUGGAGUGCUGGAGCGGUAAGCGGAUUUCCUAGUGUAGCGGUGAACUGCGUAGAGAUCGGGAGGAACACCAGUGGCGAAGGCGGCCUACUGGGCUUUAACUGCCGCUGAGGCACGAAAGCCUGGGUAGCAAACAGGAUUAGAUACCCUUGUAGUC